GACGGAGGGUGCUAGCGUUGUUCGGAAUCACUGGGCGUAAAGGGCGCGUAGGCGGCCUUGCAAGUCGGUUGGUGAAAGCCCGGGGCUCAACCCAGGAACUGCGUCCGAUACUGGCAGGCUUGAAUCCGGGAGAGGGAUGUGGAAUUCCAGGUGUAGCGGUGAAAUGCGUAGAUAUCUGGAGGAACACCGGUGGCGAAGGCGGCAUCCUGGACCGGUAUUGACGCUGAUGCGCGAAAGCCAGGGGAGCAAACGGG
rnacentral:rRNA from 1 species